CUCGUCCCCUCCCCCUCCAUGCAGCGCUGAGGAGACGGGCGGCGGAGCAGAGCAGGGGAGGCCCGGGGCCUAGCGGAGCGGGCUGGAGCGGCGGCCCCGGCGCCAUGGAGGGGAUGGACGUGGACCUGGACGCCGAGCUGAUGCAGAAGUUCAGCUGCCUGGGCACCACCGACAAGGACGUGCUGAUCGGCGAGUUCCAGCGGCUGCUGGGCUUCCAGCUGAGCCCGGCCGGCUGCGCCUUCUUCCUGGACAUGACCAACUGGAACCUACAAGCAGCCAUUGGAGCCUACUAUGACUUUGAGAGUCCGAACAUCAAUGUGCCCUCCAUGUCCUUUGUUGAAGAUGUUACCAUAGGAGAAGGGGAGUCAAUCCCUCCUGAUACACAGUUUACAAAAACAUGGAGGAUACAAAACACAGGGACAGAGGCAUGGCCCCCAGGGGUUUGUCUUAAGUAUGUCGGGGGAGACCAGUUUGGCCAUGUAAACAUGGUGAUGGUCAGGUCGCUAGAGCCACAGGAGAUUGCAGAUGUCAGCGUUCAGAUGUGCAGCCCCAGCACAGCGGGAAUGUAUCAGGGACAGUGGCGCAUGUGCACUGCUACAGGACUCUAUUAUGGAGAUGUCAUCUGGGUGAUCCUCAGCGUGGAGGUUGGAGGACUUUUAGGAGUAACGCAGCAGUUGUCAUCCUUCGAAACGGAAUUCAACACACAACCACAUCGCAAGGUAGAAGGAAACUUUAACCCCUUCGCCUCUCCGCAGAAGAACAGGCAACCAGAUGAAAACAACCUAAAAGACCCUGGGGGUUCUGAGCUAGGCACAAUCAGCAAAAACACGUGGGGGCCUGCUCCUGACCAAAUUGAACAAGAUCAGAACGGACUGUCACAAAACUCUGUAAAUCUUUCUCCCAGCAGUCACUCGAACAACUUGUCGGUAGUGACGUACAGUAAGAUGCUUGUGUGUACAAAUACGUGAAAAAUGAAUUGCAGGAUUAUUUACACUUCAGAAUCCUAUUAUUGCAAGAGGCAUGUCUAGGGUUUCCACGGUCCUUAUCCCUUUGGACAGUCUUAAAAACAAACAAACAAAAAAAAAAACGGGUACCGUCAAGAGGAGAAUUUAACAAAGAACUGACUCAUGGGGGACAGAAGGGGGUUCUUAUGGCUUCUAGAAGACACGGCAUGGAUCCCCUUCUCUGCCUCCGCAACCUGGAUAAAGAAGAAAACAAACAAAAACCAAUAACUUAAAACUAGUGGUUUCCAGAGGAAAACAAAACUAAAGUAUGCAUGUGUGAAUGCUGAAUUUUAGGAGUGCUGUUCAGUGCUACGAGAAAGAGAAAAUACACCAACACCAUGAUUUUGUUUUUUAGAAGUCAUUAUCACAAUUAAUUAGGUAGCUGAAAAAGUUUAAAAAAAUUAAAAUGAAAGCCAUCUUUUUAAAAGAGAAAAAAAUUAUUUUGCCUACAGAGCGGUUGUAGUUUGAGCAAAUGUUUAAUUUUUUUUUUUUCCUGUUCAUAAUUUUUUUAAUAAGGGACAGAGUGCAUUUUUAUGGAACUGUCGUGUUUGCUUGCUACAGAACGGGAGCUUGCUUAGCAUCUUCUGGGGUUCAUGCAAUGACUUCUCUUUGUAUGUUGGAUGUUUUUAAUGUGUGAUUGGCCCAGCACCCAGCUCUGUGAAUUUCAGUGGUAUCAGCCAUUUUUAGUUAUCAGACUUUUAAUCUUCAGUUUUUGUAUGUUUCCCUUUUGACUUUAGUGUUAUUGGAAACCUUAGUAAAGACCAAACUGUUGCAUUAGGAUGGGAGGACUCCAGCAUUGAAUUAACCUGGGAGGUUCAUUUUUCUCUUGGAACUUGAAAUAUACAUACACAUAUUUCAGUAAGAAACAGACUUACUAGGGUUCCGAAGCUGGUCCUAAAUGAUUGGUAUUUUAAAGUGCUGUUUUGUUUGUCAAAUAUUGAUGUCCAGUAGCUGUGCCUAGGACAGCCAGGCAAGUGUAUCUGUCUUGUGCCAAGAGGAAAUUAACUUUCUGUAGCUGUAGUUCACCAAACAGUAAUUAUAAAGUUAUGCAAAAGUCAUGCCCCUUUAGGUUUAAACCUCACAUCCCUACCCUUUUUAUAUAAGUAUAAUUUUAAUUCCUCUCUCCUGUGAUUAAAGUACUAGCUUAGGAGGCAGAGGCCAAUUGUUUUUGAAUGUAGAGCAAGAAGUUAAAUCAUCAGCUGGAUUCCAUUGUAGCGCCUUGUAUUCUUUCGCCUUUUUACUGGCCUGUAGAUUCUUUGAAGCUCUAGCUUUCUAGAUGGGUCUCAUCAAGCCGCCUGUUCAGAAGAGGAAGAGCUUUUCUGGACAUGAGGGUCAUUUAGCUGUGAGCGUCCUCGGAGGAAUGAUACCAAUGUGCAAAGGAGACCAUGCAGAGCAAUUGCAGAGGGUGGCGGAGUUCUGUUUCAGACUUUGCUGUGUUGGGUCACUGAGAGCCAAGCAGUGGGAAGAGAAUGGGUUUUUUGGAGGGGAGGCACUAAUUCAGAAACUUGAACCAGGCCGUAACAGCCGUCUGCCAAAGAUACAAUAAUAUGCAACAUCCCCCAUCCUCCUCCUCCAAACCCCUUCCCCCACCCAAACUACCCAUUCAUGUUGGGAGCUGAGUGCAUGGUAUGCCUGCUGGUGAGAGCGAUGCAAGGCUUUAGGCUGGCCUAGUCUGCACCCAAGCACCCAUGUUUGCUUGGUUGACAUAAGCAGAGUUUCAUUUUCAGUACAGUUUCCAUGGGCCUUAUUCUCCCAGGCAUAUGGGUAGCUCCUGUUGAGGCUAGUGGGAAUUGUUGGUAUCCUGCGAAGGAAGAAUUAGACCCUUGGUGAGGCAUUUGAAUACUUGUAGUCUCUAGAACCCAGUGAACAGCUACCCUGGUAUUGCUCCAUUAGUGGAUGUUUGAUAUUUUAGUUUCUAUUGGACACUGGCUUUCGAAGGACGUGUUUCCUUUUAAGAUUGGAAGUUUCCCUUUCAUCUCUCUCUCUCUAAACACACAGAUAAGUCUGGGGACAGGGUUGUAAUGGAUCACCCCUUGGAUGAAGAAAGUUGUGGAGUUUGGAGGAAGGUCCUGCCUGGCUUACACAGCUGUGGUUGGGGAGUUAACCUGAAGGCUUGUGGUGGGAUGGCUGCCUGCUAGACUUGGAGAAGGGGGUGCAGAUCCACAUUUGAGCUUUGAAUGCAGUUUAGGAGGUGGGGGCUGCAUGUAGUUAGCUGUAGUCGUAAGACCCUGUAUAUGUCUUGUAAAAUUCCUCUUGCUAUGGGCGAGGUAUGUUAAUCAAAGUCACAAGGAAGCAAGUGUGUAAACUGUCAUGAUGAAGUGUGGGCAAGGUUUGAACUGUCAUGACAAGCAUGCAAGGCAUGACCACAUGCACAUCCAGUACCCAGCAUGUAGCAUCCCCCACUCCCAUGCGUCCCUUCUGGAAGUGUUGCUGUUAGUUGAGGUGACAAGGCUGCUCAUUGGUCUCUUCACACCAGCUUCAUCCGUCUGUUGUGUAGAGGAGGAGGAACAAGGAGUUCUGGAUUUCUGACUGCUGCCGCCACUGGGCCCAGAACUCUGCAGACCUUGUACUGGCAAAGGCUGCUGGGCGACCCUCAAAACCAGCUCGCCUGACUCUGGUUUUCUCUUUUGCUGUUCCCAGGCAGGUAGGCUUCACCUGAGCAAACUGAUGGCUAUGUUCACAUCCACCUGUCACCAAUGCAAAGAUUGAAUUUUGUUCCUUUCUGUAGAGAGAGCUGUCAUGCACCCCCAGUUGUUCCUGUGCCUUCUCAGUCCAUUCUGCACAGAUCUCAAUGUUGUCUCUUCUCUUGAGCGUGUCUAAGUCUGCUGUGCCCUUGUGAUUGGGUCAUUCACAGAGUGAAGAAAGGCAGGGCCUGAUUUGAGCUGUAGUUGCAAUAAGUCAGCCUGUCAGUGCUGACAUAUUACAGCUGUUUCCUAGGAAAUCGGUCAGGAGCAUAAACACAACCCUUAUCAGCGGGGAUGAUCUCUAUAAAUAACUGCAAAAGGCUCAUAACUGUUUCAGGGUGUUGGUUAGUGUGAUAAUACUUCUGUGAUAACGAAGGGAAGAUGUUUAAAUUGGUAAUUAACCUGCCUCUUGUUUCUUCUCUCCAGUGAAAACUGAGUCCCCUGGUAAUCAGCAAUGCACCCAGUCCCCAAAUUUAAGCUACUCUUAAGUUUGCAACAUUUUCAAAAGAGGAUUUCAGGGGUGCUCAGCAAAGGUCUCAGCUAGUCAUCGUUGGGGCUGAAAUUGCACUGCUUUCCUAGGGCAACAUUUUUAAGGCGGGAAGGGGGCUAACGUUAGGCACCUAAACCAAAAAUAGCCAGAUAUUUUUCAGACGUGCUGAGCACCCAAGUUUUUCAUUGAUCUCAGCAGGGAGAACCUCUGAAAACCAUACUGAAUGACAUGCCUAAUUUCAGGUACUCACGUUUUAAAAUGUGAUCUAGGACUCAGAGCCUCAGCAAUUGGUUACCUGCUUGAGACUGCUGGGCAAGGGAAGAGGCCCAACGAAGCUUGCCCUAUGCUGUGUUACCCAAGCCAGACUUGUGUCCCUGAUUUUGGGAACAAAGGGGCUGGUACCCACUGGGCUCAGACAGGCUGUAGCUAUGGAGGGUCUGUAGUUGGCUCUGGUCCCUGCUUUUCCCUGGCUGCUGCUGUUGUGGGGAGGAGGGUCUUGGAGUCCUGAGAGGGCAUGGCAAAUGGAAAUCUCUUCAAAAAAGGAAAUUUAAACUUCCAAUACAUAUUUGUUUUUUAAAUGGAACCUCAAGUGUGGUGUGAGCUGUUGAGUCUGGAAAUGCCUGGUAAUCCCUGUAUCUCACUAUGUGACUCAAGUCUGGGUUGCAAGUAUAUCCUGUCACAUGGCUGGGAAAGCCUGGGUAAGCUUUGCGCCCCUCUGGCUGGAAGUGUGCUCUGUACCUGGGAAGGGGUGUCUAGCCUGCUUUGGCAUGAUAGAGAGUAUCUGCUGCCCUAUGUCUUGAGGGGUGUGUGCGUGUGUGGUGGGGAGAAAGAAUGCAUCCUGAAACCUCCAGGGUUUGGGAGAUGUCUGGGACCCCACAACUGGGGAUGCAAGUGCAUUCCCAGACCUCAUGGGUGUGAGCAUAAUCAGAGUCUGCAGGGCUAGGAAAUACACACUGUCCCCUGUUUGUUUUUUUUUUCUUGUGCGAGUGAGUGGUUGGUUCUGCAGCCUGUCGUUAUUCCCUCUGGGGGGAGUGCAUGUGUAGAACAGGAUGGCGUGUUGCCUCAUUGAGUCUGGGAGAAGUCUGAUGAUAGCACAUUGGGUAUAAUACAAAAAAAGGAAGCUUUUUCCUUUAAUGUAUAAAUGAAUAUUUGUAUGAUUAAAUUAACACAGAAAAAAUUA